rnacentral:tRNA from 1 species
CAAAACAUAGCUUAAUUAAAGCCUCUUGCUCACACAAGAAAAUGUCUACUAAUCUAGACUGUUUCAAAA